AGCCUCAUUCCAUAAAAUAAUGGGUACAGUUGAUCAUAGUGCCCAGAACUGCUAAUAUGGCUAAAUUUAGACACAAGUUAUGCUUCCAUCACAAUAUAUUUAUUGCAGUGGUCACAAUAACACCUGUAACUUUC
rnacentral:snoRNA from 1 species